GGGUUCGUCAUUGUUGAAACUCA
rnacentral:siRNA from 1 species